GCCGGGUGUGGUGGCGCAUGCCUGUAAUCUCAGCAACUUUGGAGGCUGAGGCAGGAGGAUUAGGAGUUCAAACCAGCCUCAG
rnacentral:sRNA from 1 species